GAUGAAGAACGUAGCGAAAUGCGAUAAGUAAUGUGAAUUGCAGAAUUCAGUGAAUCAUCGAAUCUUUGAACGCACAUUGCGCCCGCCAGUAUUCUGGCGGGCAUGCCUGUUCGAGCGUCAUUUCAACCCUCAAGCCCCCGGGCUUGGUGUUGGGGAUCGGCCGCCCUCCGGCGCGCCGGCCCCGAAAUCUAGUGGCGGUCUCGCUGUAGCCUCCUCUGCGUAGUAGCACACCUCGCACCGGAACGCAGCCUGGCCACGCCGUUAAACCCCCCACUUCUGAAGGUUGACCUCGGAUCAGGUAGGAAUACCCGCUGAACUUAAGCAUAUCAAUAAGCGGAGGA
rnacentral:misc_RNA from 1 species